UGAGACUGCUCGAGCAACCUGUGGAGAUGCUCACAUGGAGAGGGACUGAGACCCUUCUCCCAAUAGCCACCACCAGCUUGCCAACCAUCCACCUGGAACUCACUUAUUCCAGAGACUGUAUCUAUAACAUGCAGCCUGGAUCCCUGAGUCACUGCAUGGAAGAGAACUUCUUUGGAGAGCUGAUCAACCCAGAGAAGACUGUGCAUGAACCAAAAAUAAACUUUUGUGUAUGAAA